rnacentral:rRNA from 1 species
CCUACGGGAGGCAGCAGUGGGGAAUCUUGCGCAAUGGGCGAAAGCCUGACGCAGCCAUGCCGCGUGAAUGAUGAAGGUCUUAGGAUUGUAAAAUUCUUUCACCGGGGACGAUAAUGACGGUACCCGGAGAAGAAGCCCCGGCUAACUUCGUGCCAGCAGCCGCGGUAAUACGAAGGGGGCUAGCGUUGCUCGGAAUUACUGGGCGUAAAGGGAGCGUAGGCGGAUAGUUUAGUCAGAGGUGAAAGCCCAGGGCUCAACCUUGGAAUUGCCUUUGAUACUGGCUAUCUUGAGUACGGAAGAGGUAUGUGGAACUCCGAGUGUAGAGGUGAAAUUCGUAGAUAUUCGGAAGAACACCAGUGGCGAAGGCGACAUACUGGUCCGUUACUGACGCUGAGGCUCGAAAGCGUGGGGAGCAAACAGGAUUAGAUACCCUGGUAGUCCACGCUGUAAACGAUGAGUGCUAGUUGUCGGCAUGCAUGCAUGUCGGUGACGCAGCUAACGCAUUAAGCACUCCGCCUGGGGAGUACGGUCGCAAGAUUAAAACGUCAAAGGAAUUGACGG